AUGCAUGAACCUCUGCCAGUGCGCGUGUGCGGCACCAGGAAGCACUGAGACGUGUUCGAGGCUGUGCUCUGAAGCCCGCCUGUCUGCCUGUCUGCCUGUCUGCCAAUUGCGGACGCUGUGAUCCCGGUAAAUCAUCCAUGUGGCACCACUGCGGCAGGCAGUGCAGAGCUUGAAUGCAGCACUCAUCGACUACCCAGCGUACGAUAGCGACGACGCACAUUCCGCGUGUUGACACGCGCCGGGUACCUAUGGUCGGUGGCUGGAGAUCGACAGGGAAUGCCAGGUACCGACGCCUUACAAAACGCUUUUGCCCGAACUGUGCCUGCUAUGCAAUGCGUAUCGUCGGUCGAGCGACUGACGUCACACUGCAGCGCGCCCAGUAGCGAGAUGGUGCCAGAAACCUCGUACACGUCAUCCAGUCAUGCGUCAGGACGAUACCUGGAGCUAUGAGCACGUCAUUUUGACUCUUUCGCUGCAGAGUUCAGCGACGAUCGACGACGGCAUUCGGGAACUGUUUCUGUACCAUCUCCGUAUGGCAACAGCAGCGGGGUGCUUCCAGGGGCGCAACGGACCCGUGCGCCACACUUGCCACCCGGAGAGUCGCUUGAACGAAUUAUGAUACCCCGAUGCCAAGUAGGGUCUGCAGUUCGUCGAAAUCAGGGUCGUGACUGGUGUGUGGACUACCAUGCAGUCGAAUACGGGUGAGUCUCGGCCGCUUUCCUGGCUACCGAUAACCACGGCACAUCCUGGAAUCCCCGAUUCGUCUCAUCGAUCCCAGACUAUCAGGAAGGUUUCAGCGACAUCGACGCGCUCGAAGCGAGAACGCAUAACGCUUCACGAUGCGAGGGUUUGCCUUCACCACGAGGGACUCGGAUGCUUCCGAGUCGUUCAUGCUGUGCAUUCUGAUGAACGAGUUGAGGUUAGGCGCAAGCGCCACCUGUUUCUACGUGCUCAUCCUCUGACCGAGAUCGCUCACAAAGAUACGCGUUCACGUACCCUGGACAUUGCCUAUCGUAUCGAGGAAGCGGGAUGCAGUGCGCGAUCCGCCACAAAAACGACCGCAGCGCGCUGGAUGCGAUGCAAAAGCGCAAAGGCACCCCUGCUGUGCACGAAACGCAACGAAUGGCGGCGACUUGCAAGAGAUCCACAUUGAAACUGCUACAACAAAGCGGUUCAUAACCGCUGGGCGAGCGCUAUAUAGCUGAUACGUGAAGAAACGCAAUACCACAAACGGCGCUUCUAGGACGGCCAACACACUCGCGUCAUUCGCUCGAUGCAGCAGAGCAAUUUUUACAUGCACCGUCGACGAAACCCAGCGCCCUGCCUGGACUUGUUUCGCAAUAUCGCAAGAACAAAGAUGCGCUCGUAGGUACCAGAACAUGCAGCGCAUUGCUCUCUCGAGUGAAGCGUGCCGUUGAAUCCGCAUCCAAUGUCAUGCAGAAUCUGGAACUGGCCCAGCAUACACGAAUUCAUAAUUGCCGGCAGGUACAGCACCUGUUGACGCGGCUACACCAAGCCGCAUCUCGACGAGACUCGAUUAUGCUGUUUUCGUAUCCCGUCAGCGGGUACGGAAAACGGAAACGGCAGCGGAUCGCACCCCGUGAUUUCGUGCUUAUGGAUCGGAAGCGCUGUUGUUCCUGUCAUGGUGGCCUCGACGAGAGGUGCCACUCGCAAUCCAAACAUUCGCCACGAAUCAGGCUACUGGUGCAGAUGCAGUUGAUGGUUCAGCAGACGUUGUCAAAUGACAUCCUCUGUCGCAUACGAUACUGCACAACGAACGGAUUUAACGAUGCUGCACAUGUAGAACAAGUGCAUCCGAGGAGACGCUCCACGUUCCGCAGCGUAGAUUGCUUUCUGCCUUGACACUAUUCCAAAGCGAACCGUCGCCCCAGGUGUCUCCAUACAGCGCGGAGCGUCUGUGCUUCGACCGCGCAUCCAUUUACCACUGCAACCAUUGAACAAGUCGUGCUUCUCGGCGUUAUCUAGACCGGGUCCAACGGUGAUGUGCAUCGAACAAGUGACCUGUGAGCAACAAUGGGCGUACUGGGGAUGACAGACUCCGCAACUCGCGCGAGGUGCUCCUCGAAACCCCGUAAUACUCGGGGAAUACGUCAGGCCAUAAAGCCGAAUGGCCCCGACGAUGCAUCAUUGCAUGCAAAGAAGCAGCAUAACCUGGAAACCCCGUAAUACUCGGGGAAAACGUCAGGCCAUAAAGCUGAAUGGCCUCGACGAUGCAUCAUUGCAUGCAAAGAAGCAGCAUAACCUGGAGUUGCCUUAGCAACCCGAACAUCGAUCAAACAUAGUCGAGUGUUGCCGGGUCUGGUUGCCAGAAGACCACAUUCUGACACGCGCUUACGAGCAGUGCGUACUGCGGAUUAAACCCUAACGCCCGCGAAUACAUGGAAUGCCCGUGCAGAACGUGACACGGAUUCCCCGUCGCCCUUUCCCAAAUGUGAAUGCUUGCAUCUUCUGAUCCCGAAAGCACGUACUGUGAGUCCGGACUAAAGCAUGCGUCAAGCUCAUAGGCCUGGUCAUUCGCGUGGCCUCUACAGAGUGUCUGCAGACAACCGUUGAAUGCGUCCAGUAUCUGAAUGCGUGGAUUCGGUUCAGCCGCACCUACGAGCAGUGAGCGGCCGUCGCCGCUAAACUUGAGUACGGUUGGCUCAGAGGUUGUUACGUUGCUCUCAAAGUCGAUAAAUGGGCCCUCAUCCCAUUUGCGGAGAUCGUAGAGCUUAAUCACGAGUUUCAACAGGUCACUGAAUGCUACUGCAGCGACAAGACCAGAUGGAUCGACGGCAACUGCGGGGCGCCCUCGUACCUGCAGCACGCCUGCACAAUGGGGAUAACGAAUGUCCCAGAGCCGCAUGGUGCCGUCCAAUGCUGCUGACAUGAACGAAUCAUCAUUCGGCGUCACUGCGAUGGAAACAACGCGCGCACGAUGACCACGAAAGUACCGUAUGUAUUUGCUCUCCGUUAACGACAGAUAGCGAAUAUGAUCGUCCCAGGACAGCGGCGCAUUGUCCGGUGCCCGGGCUUGGAGUGAACCGCUGCCGGGGUCCAGAACUGGUUUGCUUGCGCAUAGUACUGCAGAUUUGUGGUUACCGAAGCGAAUGACACCGCACCCGUAGCGUUUCACUGGUAUUGUCGUCAAGAGUCUGCCUUGAACGGCGCUGUACACACUGAUGAGGCCAUCAUCACCACCGGCCGCUACGAUUUCGCCAUCAACCGAAAAGUCUAGAGUGCAGACCUGUUCUUGAUGGACAUUUUUGAAGACUUUUGUUUUGCGCAGGCUCUGCAUCGCUCGGUUGUUUAGCCUCACUAUCGGAAGGUCUCGCUGCUGCGAAGUGAAAACUCUGGGCUCCAUGCUCCAAUUCCGUACUGAACAGCGAACGAAAUUGACAACGUUCACUGCCAGGUUCUUUGAGCUUAAAGGUAGCGC